rnacentral:rRNA from 1 species
AUAGCGUAUAUUAAAGUUGUUGCAGUUAAAAAGCUCGUAGUUGAACUUCGAACGUGGCUGGGCGGUCCGCCUCACGGUGUGUACUGUCUGGCCGUGUUCUCUUUCUUGGUGAGCCGGCAUGCCCUUCACUGGGUGUGUUGGGGAACCAGGACGUUUACCUUGAGAAAAUUAGAGUGUUCAAAGCAGGCCUACGCCCGGAUACUUUAGCAUGGCAUAAUAAAAUAGGACGUGCGGUUCUAUUUUGUUGGUUUCUAGAGUCGCCGUAAUGAUUAAUAGGGAUAGUUGGGGGCAUUAGUAUUCCGUUGCUAGAGGUGAAAUUCUUGGAUUGACUCAAGACCAACUAUUG